GAGAAAGGAAAAGUCCGAGCUGUCACGGAGCAAAAACGGGAGCUGGAAGCAUGUAAAUAUAAUAAUAACCACAGCAACCAAGAAGAGUGCCUGAGGAGCCCAGCUAGAUCUCCAUCAGAGCAUUGCCCACAGUGGAGUAUUUCCAGAAGAGCCUCUGAAAUUGGAUGCUACAAAAUCAAGUGGGGAUUAUGAGGCUAGCCAAUACCGAGACAGUCAUUCGCAGCGUGUGCUUGUCUCAUUCUUGACCAGACGCCAGAAGUCUCACGAGAGCAGGUGGUGGUGAUGAUGAAAGCCCACAGACGGGUGUGUGAUGCCAGUGUGAGCCAGAUGUCAAACUGAGGUCUUCAGCUGUUUUCCUGGCCACUGAAAGUGCACAAACAGCUUCACACACAAUUGACUCAAAAUAAAGACCGC
ensembl:lncRNA